AGAAAGUUUAGUUCUAACUUAGCAAAUUUGCUUUUUAUUUAUUGUACAUGUAAGUUUUUUUGCGUGUUAUUAAUUCUUAAUGAUUAAUUUAUUAGUAUUCUCAGUUCUUAAUUUUGGUUUAUUAAAAAUUUUUAGAUCCAGUAAAUUAAUUAAGCUCCGACCAAGUUUGUGCCAGCAGUUGCGGUUAUACAAUAGGGGCAAGUAAAUUUUAUUUGGCUUGUAUUUAAUUUUUUAAUUUUAAUUAUGAAUUUUAUUUUUAAGGUGAAAUUUGAAUUUGAUAUUAAAUAUUUUAUAUGAUUAAAUAUGAAAAUCUGUUAUGGAACUAGGAUUAGAUACCCUAUUAUUUUAGAUUGUUAAAUUAUAGCUUUAGUAUUAAUAGGUAUGUUCUUUAAAUUAAAAGAAUUUGGCGGUAAUUUAGUCCUUCCAGAGGAACCUGCCCUGUAAUUGAUAAUCCACGAUGAAUUUUACUUUAUUUAAGCUUGUAUAUCUCUGUCAUUGAGUGUCUUAUUAGGGUAUUUUCUAUAAUUUUUAUUGAAUAUAAUGUUAGGUCAAGGUGCAGCAGUAUUAAAGUAGAGGUGGGUUACAUUAAAUGUAUUUAUGGAAGAAUAAAUGGAAAUUUUUCGGAAAUUGGAUUUGGAAGUAAUUGUUAUUAAAAUAUAGCUUUGAUUAUGGCUCUAAAUUAUGUACACAUUGCCCGUCGCUCUCAUUAAUUAAAUGAGAUAAGUCGUAACAGAGUAGGCUUACCGGAAGGUGAGCCUGGAAAGU
rnacentral:ncRNA from 1 species